AAAAAAAAAAACCAAAACAAAAACCCCUAACGUUAUCCCCUUUCAGCCCAGAGAUUUGGGGAGAAAAUAUUCAGGCUUUUGAGUCAGCUUUUAUUUUGGAAAUGAAAGGGACUGCGUGUGUAUAAAAAAAUAAUAAAUGGGUAUAAUUACAAACCAUCUCUUUUCGCCUGAGAGUUCUAAAACCUUGGCCUCCAAAACAAAUCCAAUACUCUGGUUCAGAAAAUAGCACAGAGGAGUUGAGGGGAAAGCAGUGUGCCGGCCUUUCAGAUAACAGGACCGCAGGCAGAGCAAUGGAAACAGCUCCUGCAGCUGGAGUGGGGUGGGGAAUCAAAGGUUGGUGGGCAUGAGUCUGAUGGUGUGUGUGUGUGUGUGUGUGUGUGUGUGUGUGUUUGGGGGCCAGGGAGGGAUGAAAAUUGUUUUCAGUUCCGUAAGGAUUCAACUGGCUUCCAAUGGUGGACUACAACUUGGAACAAGGGCUCAAGUUUGUAUUACAAUGGUUCUGGAAUUUAGGAUUUCUUUCUGCUAUUAUUGGAAACAGACUAGAGCUGGAAGGGUCCCUGCCUCCAGCACCUUUCUGCACAAGGAUGCCAUAUCUAACAGACUCUGAACCUGACAGAAGCUACUGGCAAACAAGCAACCAAUCUUUGCCCUACCAGGGUUCCCUUACCGCGACUAAAGCCUGAGCUGGGACCUGCAGGCCCAGGAGACUCGAGGAAGCUUCCAGGCGGAAUUCCCUGCGUAGCCAGGCUCCACAUAGCUUGGCUGGGCCUCAGCACAGGUCCCAGCCUCAGGUGCCCAGUUAGGGUAGGGAGAGCCUCCUUGCCCUUGGUGUGGGCACACAAAAACGCCGCCAAUGCCCUCUAAUCGGAUCUCUUAGGCUGCAGUUGCCAAUCCGCAGAGUAAGAACGCAAGGCCGCCGCCAUCCGGUCGUGAUCAUAACCGAGGCCUUGUCUGUGCAGCAGCACACCAGGCCCAGAUCCACAGCCCCGGACAGCUGUCCCACGCAAGCCCUUCCUUGGCAGAUUCCGACCACAACUUGAGCGCGCAGAGAAAAAUAAGACCCCAGCCCCAGACUCUCCCCAAACCAGCCCUGGGUCCCUCCCGGAGUUAGAGUUAGGGAGGCGAGGUGGUAGAGAUAGAAAAGUAGGCACAGAGAGACUGAAGAUGAAAGAAAAAUAAAGGUAAGGGAAGACAGAAGGAAGAAGUAAAGGAAGGGAAAAAACAAAAAAGCACAAAGAGGAAGGAAGCGAGGAAGAAAAGGAAGAGUCAAAGGCGACUCCUGGGAGCCGAGGGCAGCUUACAGAAAGAAGGGUAAGUGACAAGGCCAGGAUCCCAGCCCCUUUCCACCGUGUCCCUCCUAGUUUGGCCUGAGUCUCUCUCAAAGGGAUCUUUCCUGAUCUCUACCCUGGAUUGGGACUGGUAGUAUCCCAGCCUUGCAGGAGAAUGGCAGGAUCCCUGGCCAGGCACAGGCCUGGAGUGGGGGGAGGCCCAGGAUGGAAGCGUGCGCCCCUGACCUUGAAUGGCUCAGGGCCCAGAAUUCCUACCACGCCCCCGGCGUCCGCCAAGAAGCAGCUAACCUGACCAUACCUGCUCGGGGCCAGGUGGGCACGGGGUGGGGGGUGAAGCCAGCAGCCUGACAAAGCGCUGAGAAGGAGGCAGGGACGCGGCUCCUGCACGGGGAAAAGCCGAGGUUGCCACCGCAGGCCUGGCACGACCAGGGCCUGGAUGCCCCGCCCGGCCCGGCCCCCGCGCGCACAGGUACCUGGAGACGAUUUCAACUGAAGUAAUGAAGGCAGUGUCGUGCUGUCGAGAGAAAGGUGGAUCCCAACAACAGGAAACUACCUAAAUCACCGACCAGUUCUGGUGCUGCCCGCGCGGGGCUGCCUCGCCCGCCGCUGCCGCCGCCACUGCCGCCGCCACUGCCGCCGCCAAAGGGAGAACCCUGCGAUCGCACCCGGCGGACCCCCCCCCCCUUGCCAACCUGCGCCUGCGCUGCCACUGUGUGAGCGGCACUACCGCUAAGGCAUCACGGAGGGAGAAGCCACCGGCCCCGGUAAGGUAAACCUGGAAGAGGGAAGGAAGGAAGGUAAAGGAGAGAGAGGAAAAUGGAAGGAGAGGAGAAAGCGAGAAGAGAGGAGAGCGAGCAGUGUGCGUGCUCGUUUCCCAAAUCUUGCUUCUCAGCGAGCACGCGCCGAGCUGCGGCAGCCCCGAGCAACUCGAAAGCGCCAGGGUCGGCACACAGCCCGGCUCCCAGUCUGGUCUCGGCCUCCGGCGGCUCGCUCCCCGCCACUCGCUCUCCCCCUCUCUCCCUCCCAGCCAGCCAGCCAGCCGGGGCGCGCGCUCCCGCGCCCCCUCCCCCUGCCGUCGCGCCCCCCCCCCACCUCCCGCGAGCAGGAAACGCGUGGCCCCGAGGAGGGCGACCAGGUGGGGGAGGCCAUGCUGGGGGAGGGGGCCAUGCAGCCAGCAGCAGUCUACCUAACUGCUGCCGCGGACGCUAGUGACGCGCUCUUGGCCCAGCCUGCUCCCCGGAUUCUUAGGCUGGGGGUCAUCUGGGACCAGGGGACCCACAAAACAACCGGCGUCUGCGAGCCUCCCUGGGGCUCCCGAAAGAAAUCCUGUUUGGCUUCCUCUGUCUAUGCAGCUCCCCUCUCAACUGAAACCACUGGUCCAAGACAGCCACAAUCCAGAUAUACUAGCAAGUCAUAAAACUGAACAAAAGCCGACAAACCUUACGGCACCAGGGCUAUAGGGCCCAGACAAAUUACGACCGUCUAGGUAAUAUUUAAAUAGAUGCCUAAAGUAAUUGCAGGGGGCGCGGGCUAGUCCUCCUGUUGUAAAAGUGGUGGCCGGGAUAAAGUGGAAGGUGAAGAUAAGAAAUCAAAAAAAGAGGUAAAAUUAAAAAGCUUCAUUCCACAGCUUUUAUUCUUCUAUAAGAACAUAAACAUCGUCUUUUUUCCACGCACAGCAGCAUUACAAUAUUAAUUUAUUCUGAUUUAAGAUUAGAAGUAAAUAGAGCUAGAACUAACAUUUAUAAUAACGAUAGAAUGCAUUUGCAUAAAACAAGAUUGGCAAUUUUUCAUAAUAAUAGACAUUUAUACAGAUUUGUAUUUAUAAUUCUUCUUUUUCUGCACCUACAGGUUUGACCCUUUUAUGCAUGUAACUUCACAGUAUAAAGGAAACCCAAACAAAGUCUCCCUUCUCUAGUCUAUUCCGCUUGCCCCAGCCCUCCUUGGGUUCUAUGAAUUUUAGAAAGGAAAAAGAAAGAGGAAGAAGAAAAAAGAAAAUGAGAAAGAAAACUCUCCACAAGACAGGGAGAAUUGUGGUGUGCUUGUCGUGUGUUACCAGUGGUAACAAUUACUUAAUGACAAAAAAAACCCCACUAAAUCCACACGCAUAAACAAAACUACCUUAGGUUAUUUAUCUACAGACAGAAGAAUAUGGAAAUUCAGAGCCAAAGUCAAGCCCUUUUGCCAGCCUGCAUGUCCAUGCCUGUAAGCCCUUCUCUUUGCCAAGGAAGAAAGAAAGAAAGAAAAAAGAAACCCAGGGGCCUGUGUCCCCUGAUUAAACACAGCCCAGCACUCCAGGCAGGCGAGCCCGGUGGCGGCUCCUUGCACCAUUGACCUCAGGCCAGACACCUCAGCGCCUACAAUGGGACCUCGGCCUUCCGGCUAGGUUUGCCCGCCCCCGCAGGAAACCAGCUCCACCGGGAGGACCGGAGCCAUUUCCAGCAGAGGAACCCCGAGACAGCAAACCAGCCCAGUCACCACUCGACACUUCAGGACAAUAGUUCUCUCUCUAGAAAUUUAGCACGAUAUGGCUUUUUCCCCCAGAAAACAAGUAAACCAGCACCAAGCAAACAGACAAAGAAACAAAAAGUCAGAACAAACCAGCCCUGCACAGAUGUAACGGCCAGCGAGAUGGCGAGUGUGGGAGGGAGGAAUGGGGCUCCGGCACAGGUGCGAGUUCCUGGGCAGAGGCCGAAGACAGAGAGAGGAGAACGGCUCUCUGGCAGCGGGGAAAAAAAAAACGGCGUUGCCUGGAGCUUCAUCAGGAAAAAUUAAAAUUGGCUGUGAGCUCCCGGAUCCGGUUUUCUCGGUUCAUUUUCUUCAGUUUCAUCCUGCGGUUCUGAAACCAGAUUUUAACUUGUCUGUCCGUGAGGUGGACGCUGCGGCUGAUCUCUAGGCGCCGCUCUCGAGUAAGGUACAUGUUGAACAGAAACUCCUUCUCCAGCUCCAGCGUCUGGUGCUUGGUGUAAGGACAGCGCUUCUUCCUGCCGCUCUUUGCUGUGAGCCAGUUGGCUGCGUUUUCGCCUUUGGAAUUGCCUGGCAUUCAAGAGAAUAAAGAGGGGAAGGUUAAAUCGGGGCCAGGCUAGGCUGUGCGCGGGGGUGAAUUUGGGACUUCUCUGCCAUAAGAGGGAUGCCCUAAGUCACACGGAGUUUUGCGGCCGUCUCCCCCCCCCCCUCCCCUUUAGCUUGCUCAAGAAGAUCAUUCCUCCAACAGGCAUGUGCAAAAUGGACAGGGCCUUCAAUCUACACCUACCCUCCCAGCUCACAUGUCCCUCCACUUUCCCCCAAACACCUGUUUUAACACAAAGCUGCCAGGCGCUCCCAGAACGAAAGAACGAAAGCCUGCUGCUGUACGGCAAGCUGUACUGCUUGAACUUAACGCCUUUCUCUGCUUCUCGCCCCAAGGCAGACAAGCACUUCCUGCAGCCCCCAGGCAGGGGGCAUGGGUGCCUACUUGGAAGGGAGGGGGGCCGUUUGUGUCUCACUCCAGUCCCCUGAUUGCCUAAGGCCCAAUAAGGAGAGGGACAAGGACACAGUUGGGACCUGGAGAAGGCACAAAAAAACUGAUUCGGGGUCAAGGGCCGUCCCUCACGUCCUUCCAGGAGCCGGGGACAUGCAGUCUGGGCGAUUCCGAGUUUCAGGGGAAGUGAAAUGGUCCCUUUCGGACUCUCAGCUCAGGGCCCCGGCGUCCGGGCGGGAUUUGCCUUUUCUUCUCCCCGCAAGGAGGAUUCCCGCCCCUCCAGCAACUUUGAAAAAAGCAUGGGGGAUCGUAAACUCGAACUUCGCCGGUUAAUGGGCUUAUUUAUUGGUGCUGGCGGCUGCUUAUUUUGGAUGCCUUACAAACAUCCGCGCUAUCUGCGGGCGAGCCACUUUCCUCCCUCCCCCUCCCCCCGCGUGGGCCGCGCCUCGCAGACUGGGCCCAGACCACGGCUUAGGGUGCUCCGGGCCACGGAGAAGGGCAUGCACGAGAGGGGGACUGCUUGUCCCUGUCCUCGGCCCCAAUUGGGGUGAGCUGAGGCCAGAGCGGAGGACGUCUUGGUGUGGGGCUCUAAGUCGGACAUGAAUUUUUACUGCGUCCCCACGCCCAAAUAUUAAAAAGCAAGUUCACAAGGUCAGCCUGCCUGCAGCUUGGGCCAAGGCCGGCCGGCUGCUGCGCGGACUCCUGGCUCUCUGCUCUUUCCCUUCUCUGGGUCGGCUUGCCUGUCUGCCCGCCUGACUGCGCCCCUUCAGCGCGCCCUGCUUACCCAGGGAGUCCUUCUCGGGCGAGGCUUUGCUGCUUUCGGAAGGGGCUGGGGAGAGCUCCUCCGCGGCCGAGGACGACGCGUGCGCCUCCUCGUCGCCCUGCGAGCCCCCGCCGCCGCCACCGCAAGUCAGCGUGGGGGGCGGCGGUGAAUCGAGGGCUCGCUCUUUCCGGGCUGCAUCCGCUGAGCCGGAGGCGAGUGCGGGUGGCGGGUCGAAGCCGCGCCCGGGGGGCUGAGCGGGGAACGGGCCGGCGCCGAGCUGCUGUGCGCCGCCGCUGCUGCCGUAACCCUUGGCCGUGCCAUAGGCCUGGGAGAGGCGGAAGUAGCCGGGCACUGGCACCCCGCUGGAGGUGCUCAGGGCGCAGCCGUCGGGCGGCGGGCCUCGCGGGAAGGGAGCCAGCUCGGCUGCGGCGGUGGAGCCUUUGGGGCAUUUGUCCGCCGAGUCGUAGAGGCAGUAGGAGCUCUCCUCUUUGAUGUUCUGCGCGAAAGAGCACGAGGUGGCCUGCGGCGGGGGUUGGGGUGGUUGCGGCGGGGGCGGUGGCUGUUGCUGGGGCGGUGGCGGCGGCGGCGGCCCCUCGGGCUGCUCCAUCCGGCACGACCGGGGCGCGUCUAGCCACAGGUCUAUAGGCGCGGGCGCGUAGCUGUGCGCCCCAGGACCCAGGCCCCCGCUGCCGCCGCCGCCGCCCGGCGACGCCGCCUCAUUGCGCUUGCCUCCCAGAGCCGGGAAGAGCCCGCAGCUCUGCAGCCCGUAGGGCAGGUCGGCCGCCGGUGGCAGGUAGACCCCGCCGUGGGCGUAGUAGCCGCCGCCACCGCCGCCCCCGGCGCCGCUGCCACCGCCGCCAGCCUCGCCUCUGCCGGAGCUGAUGAGCGAGUCGACCAAAAAAGAGUUCGCGGCGGGGCUCUCCGAGCAUGACAUUGUUGUGGGAUAAUUUGGCGAAGGGAGCAGAUAGCCCUUUCUGGCUGACAUUUCUUGUGCAAAACAUGCUGAAUACGAUUAGCAAUCCCCCCGCACCGCGGCGGGCGCCCGCAGCCAAUCCUGAGCCAGAGUUUCCGCGCGACCACUCCCAGUUUGGUUUCGUAGGCGCGGGGCCGCUCUCCGAGGGCGCCCUCUGAGCCCACGAUUGAUAUAAAUAUGUAAUCUGUAUUGAUGGGCCAGGAGACGCACACCCAAUACCUCAGCCCAAAGGCCAGGAGCUGUGGGGGCUGCCCCAACGUGGCUAGUGGGGGGCCUGGUUCCUGGGCUAGCCCCGCCCACGCUCGGACGUGAGCCCUCCUGCGGGGUCUGUUUGAAGGGCCCUUGGGCCCCCGCGCAGUUAACAAGUGGGGUGUUUAUGGUGCGUACCCCGCCCGCCUUGGGUGCUCCCCACUCUUAUUUCGGAAUUAGCCACUAGCCUUCCAUAUACUCUAAACACUAAGCGGGCCUAUUGUGGGGCCUCAGACUCUUCCCAUUCGGCUCCGGACCUGGAACUGUCUCCUACAAGUGGCCGACCUGGCCGUAAGGCCACCAAGAACCUCAGAGUGUCCGAGAUCCAGAGCGCACUGGAAGCCGGCUAGUGCCACUUCUUUCUUGAUUCCCAUACGUAAUUUCCCCCCAAAUGUAUUGCCCUGGCUUCUCAACCCCCACACUCUCCCCAGCCAGUCGUUGAUCCACUUAGGAUCUUUGUCCCUGGUAUGCUCACCUGGCUUGCUUUCUCUGAAGCUGCUGUCGGUGGACCCUGGUGAGCUGGAACGAGAAGGGGGGUGGGGAUGGUAGAAGCGACUGGCAACCUUGGCUGAAAGACUCCCCUACCCCUAUUCCGAGGUCAGAGCCAGGUCCAGGCACCCCAUAGCCCCAUUUCCCCGGUAGCUUCCAAGCUCAAACGCCGUUUCAGGGAAGUGAAAGAAACAUUGCUCUUCUGGGUCUUGGGUUUGACUGGAGGCGACGACCUGGAGGGGUAAACUUGGAGAAGGGGCGGCGGAUGAGCACCUCUGCCGUACAAUUCUCAAGCUCUCCCUUUAGCCUUGGCAUUCGCACGCUCUCGGAGGUUAUGACUAGAACCAGUGUCACCACACUCCUGCCUCUUCGUCCCCUCCCCUCUUCCCCCCUCCCCUCCAAACCCGCGGCUGGGGCAGCCCUCACUCCCGCGGUGUGCGCAUUUUAACGAGGCCCGCGGUGAGGAAAUCCGUUCCCGGCAAGCCCGGGCUGGGCUCGUGGCCCAGUUAUAGCAGCAUUUGGAGGCCAGGCCCUUUGCUCAGCAGACACCGGGGCCUCCUUUUUCUCUGGCCGUAGGAACGCUCUCUCAGUCAAUGGAAACUGCUGUCCCAGGGCGCUAGCCCCUGUGUGGGCCUCUUACAUAUCUCAGGAAAUGCGACCUUUCCCAGCCCGGAUCCAGUACAGUCCAGGAGGUCUCUGCCUUGCCCCUUGCCGGUGGGCUACAGCUCUCCAGGAUGCCCCAGGCCUGCCCGCCGCACCAGCUCCAGCCCCUGCAGAGGCCUAGACUGGGGCUGCUAAACGCCGGGAUCCCAGGAAGCAGACCGCUCAGGCCUCUGCCUGCAGCGGGGAAAGACCCUUGCAUCCCGGGUGAUUUGCCAGGCACUUGGCCUUGUUCCUCCCGGUGUGAACCCAGACCGAGAAGGAAGCCGAGUCUGAGAAGACCCAGAGAGGGUGCACGGGAGAGCUGGCGGAAGAGCCCUGGCGCUGGCUUCUGAGAUGCAAGCAGUUGCGGAAUCUGCCUGCUGUGGCUGCUCUCCGCCCGCCCGCAGCGCGGGCGGCCGCGCCACAGUUUGCGCUGCGCUCUAGCCGCUUCCACCCAACUGGCCUGCGCCUGGCGGUGACCGGAUCCGCAGACUGGGCAUCGGGGGUACAGAGGAGGGGGAUAGGGAAAGACAGAGAGACACAGAAGGAGAGAAGGCCAGAGGGAGAGAAAAGAGAGGGGGAGAGAAGGGGAGAGUGUCUGAGAACUAAUUCUUUCCAGUCCACAAGCUCCUGAGGCCGAAGUAGCAGCCGCAGCCGAAUCAAGUAUGUGUGGAGAGAUCAGGAGCUGUCCUUCACUGCCCACCUCCUUCCCACGAACAAGGCCAAGGCAAUUUCUAAUCCGGCUAGGCCCACGAGAUCGACAAACUUCCAUAUGGAAAGCUUCAGAGCUCGGAAACCUAGGACCCUUCUCUGGACGGGCUUGGUCCUUAUCCCACUCACCAGGAGGGUGUAACGCAUUGGGACUGUGGCGCUCAGCAGUGCUACUGGGAAAUGCCACAAAACUCAGGACUGCUUGAGAAGGGGCUUUGCCUCUUAGCACUGCUCAUGCCAAUCAAGAAAGCUCCGCAGAGUGUGAAGUAGGUCCCAAGAACAGGAGAGGGUUCCUUGAAAAGAACGCGUCCCAGCAGGCCAAUGGGCCAGGACUUGGUUACUCUCCCCACUAAAUGCACAAAGCAACUUCCCAAGGCUGUAGAUUGGAAAGGGUCAGUGGCCAUGGGAGAGGAUGCUUGAGAUGGCAGAGGCUAAGAAAAUAAAGUGAAAAGUCAAUGAUCUAAACCCGUCUUUCUCUUUGAAAGUUAAGGCCCCUUUGGAAAAGCUAAGGCCAAGCUCUGAUUCUUAUCCUGUGAAAAAUGCACAUCUGGGCAUUCCCACAAUUUGACCCAUCAUUCUCAAGGAGUUCACAGACUCCUCACAGUCUUCUCCUUGGGCCCUCCAGAAUGUUCCAGGACCCUCCGGAAUUCAGCAGCCCUGCCAGUUUGACUGGUAAGACAAGCCGGUUGCCCCGGCCCUAGGCAGUUCAGGCUUAGUCUGGUCAGGGCUCUGUAGGGUGACUAAAUGGGCUUCUAGGCUGGGUAAGAUCCAAGAGCAUGCAGGUGCCAACCAAGGUUACAAAAGUCAGCUUGGUGCUGCAUCUGCUAUAUGAAGGUCCCGUUGGCUGCCGACUCAGAGGAGGUGGAAGGCUUGCUGCAGCCUCUCAGACCAUGGCAUUGGCACUUGGGUCUUCACUGACCUUUGGGAGAGCUGGAUGUUUUUCUCCAGUGUCUUUUCUCCCCUUGCAAUAAACCAAACGGGAUACUGAGUUUCUUGCUUAAAAAAAAAAAAAAAAAAAAAAGGAUGACGAUGA